rnacentral:rRNA from 1 species
UACGGAGGGGGCUAGCGUUGUUCGGAAUUACUGGGCGUAAAGCGCACGUAGGCGGCUACUCAAGUCAGAGGUGAAAGCCCAGGGCUCAACCCUGGAACUGCCUUUGAAACUAGGUAGCUAGAAUCUUGGAGAGGUCAGUGGAAUUCCGAGUGUAGAGGUGAAAUUCGUAGAUAUUCGGAAGAACACCAGUGGCGAAGGCGACUUACUGGACACAUAUUGACGCUGAGGUGCGAAAGCGUGGGGAGCAAACAGG